rnacentral:lncRNA from 1 species
GGCAGUACUCUGUACGGGUCAGGCACGGGCAGCCUCUUGGGGGUUGUCUGUGACCUUUUCCACAUCUUUUCCCUUAUCCGCCCACUUGUGGCCAUUUUGAGGAUUUUUAGCCCAGCUGUCCGAAAAAGGGGACCCCCCUUGGCAGUGAGAACUUUGCCAGGAUCUCAUAGUGUCCCUGAAUCUGAAAAUGUCCGUUGAGCUGAAGUAUAUGUGUGGGGAACACAUCCGCCUUAACUUCAAGGUUCUAGUGAGCAUCACCCAGUGGCUCGUGGCCCUACUCUGGGGAGUCCCUGUGUCUUGGUGCAGAGGCUGGUCCACGGGCCCUGUCUGUCCGGCUCAGUCCAUAACAGAAACAGUUCCAGGUCUAUGUAAGGGCACUGAGCAUGCUCCAAUGCUUGUAUUUCAUUUUCGUUCUCUUCUUUCCUCUCCUCCCCUCUGUCCUUCCCUCCCCCUCACUUCUACCCUCUCCCCUCGCACUUCCCUUCCCCUCUCCCUCCCCCUUCUUUU